AGCAAAUUAACUUAAACUUGACAUUUGUUUUUAGAAAAUUACUGUGAUUAUUAAGCAAAGAAGGGACUGGCUAGAAUUUCUUGGUUAUCAAGAAUCAAGUCUAGAACUAGAGCUAAACUUGAAGAUAAUAUGGCUGGAAGCCAAACAUAAACUAGGCAGAGCCGCAGAGAAGGAACUAAUGCAACAGUUGUCUAGAUGAAGAAGAUAAUAUAUAUAUAUAUGGCUUGAAGUCUAGAAACUUUUGGUUAUCAAAAAGAAAAAAAAACUAGGUUUGAUGAUAAUUUGCGUAACGAUGCGAUUUGUAAUUAAAUAUCUCUUCAUGUGCGUAGCUAUAUAUCGAUAUAAUAUAGUAAUGUGUUAUGUUCAUCAGGCUGGCUAUACACUUGCAACACCUAGAAAAUACGAGGACAACUGUUGGUGAAAAGAUCACCGACAAUCAUAGAUGGAGAGGCUCCGACGAAAUAUCUGAUAGCAAUCGUUACUUCGAACCAUUAAACGGUAAGAAAUUCUCACACGUGUGUACAGCUCCAGUGAAGUAUGACCCAAACUGGACCACAACAACAACAACAAGCAAACACUCAAGCAACGUCGCUUACAUAGUCACCGGAGCUCAGCUAGAAGUGCAGAAACACGGCUCAAAAUCCGUUCUCCAUCUCCGUCUCCGUUUCACCGGAGUCUCUGAUCACUACGUCGUUCAGAAAGAUUGGGUCCAUGGACCAGGAACUUCCCAAAGAUCUGGAAUCUUCUCUUCCAUGAGCUUACCGUUGACUAGUGGGAGUGUUCAUCAUAAUAUGGUCACUAACAAAGACAAAAACGAGGUCGUUUUGGACUCUGGUGUCUACCCAAGAGGACCUCCUGUGCCGGCGAAUAACAAGAUCGUGAAAUUCGUGGAUCUUUCGCAGUUAUGUCGAGGACCUCAAAACAGUCCUGGUCAUUGGUUAGUCACGGGUGUUAGGCUUUAUUUGGAUAAAGGGAAACUUUGCUUGCAUGUCAAGUUUGCUCUGCUACAUCACCAACGCCUUCUUGGCGCAAGACAAGUCAUCCGAUCUCGAUACCGACCUCCUCCGUCACCAUCUCUACGAUCUCGGCGACCAACUGUUCACAGGCUCUUGUCUUCUCUCUACUCGCCGGCCUAAUAAGGUCAGCACAAUUUUAAGUUGUCGAUAAAGUCAGCACAACACAUUCUUUUGUUGUGUUCAUUAUUGGAGUUUGGUAUUGCAGUUUCCAGAGGCGUUCAAUGUCUUUGACGACAAAGAAACGGUCGCUUUCAAUAAUUUCUCGAUGAACUCCAAAGAUGUAAGUAAGUUUCACAGAAGCUAAACAACAUAUUGUAUGAUGAACAUUUUCAUCACUAGAAAAAGCCAUUUACAUUUUCAGGGGAUAACGGUUAUAUGCGCCAAAAGAGGAGGCGACGGGAGAGCAAAAAGCCAUAGCGAAUGGCUAAUAACAGUUCCCGAAAAGCCUGACGCCAUCAACUUCAACUUUAUUCCGAUCACAUCACUGCUCAAAGACGUCCCUGGCUCUGGUCUUUUAGCUCAUGCCAUGUCUCUCUACCUUAGAUGUAACUUCACUUACCUACUCUAACCUUAAUAUUUGACUAUUGAUGGGAGUAGUAGUUUUGAUUGAAGGAGUUAAUUUGGUAAUUUUGACAGACAAGCCGCCGUUAAUGGACCUACAAUACUUUUUGGACUUCUCUGGGCCUAGAACGUGGGCUCCCAUUCAUAACGACCUUCCGUUUGGCGCGGCGCCAAAUAUGGCUUCUGCGUAUCCAGCUCUUCAUAUCAACUUCAUGGGUCCCAAACUAUACGUUAAUACCACUCACGUACGUAUAUAUUUUACAUCCCUAGUUCUUGCUUGCAUUUUUUUGUAGUUCUUUCACAAAGUCACUUACAUUGUUAACUAAUUAUAGGUGACCACGGAGAAGAACCCAGUAACAGGAUUGCGAUUGUUCCUCGAAGGCAAGAAAUGCAAUAGGUAAAAAGUCAACCAAAGCAAAUUAACUUAAACUUGACAUUUGUUUUUAGAAAAUUACUGUGAUUAUUAAGCAAAGAAGGGACUGGCUAGAAUUUCUUGGUUAUCAAGAAUCAAGUCUAGAACUAGAGCUAAACUUGAAGAUAAUAUGGCUGGAAGCCAAACAUAAACUAGGCAGAGCCGCAGAGAAGGAACUAAUGCAACAGUUGUCUAGAUGAAGAAGAUAAUAUAUAUAUAUAUGGCUUGAAGUCUAGAAACUUUUGGUUAUCAAAAAGAAAAAAAAACUAGGUUUGAUGAUAAUUUGCGUAACGAUGCGAUUUGUAAUUAAAUAUCUCUUCAUGUGCGUAGCUAUAUAUCGAUAUAAUAUAGUAAUGUGUUAUGUUCAUCAGGCUGGCUAUACACUUGCAACACCUAGAAAAUACGAGGACAACUGUUGGUGAAAAGAUCACCGACAAUCAUAGAUGGAGAGGCUCCGACGAAAUAUCUGAUAGCAAUCGUUACUUCGAACCAUUAAACGGUAAGAAAUUCUCACACGUGUGUACAGCUCCAGUGAAGUAUGACCCAAACUGGACCACAACAACAACAACAAGCAAACACUCAAGCAACGUCGCUUACAUAGUCACCGGAGCUCAGCUAGAAGUGCAGAAACACGGCUCAAAAUCCGUUCUCCAUCUCCGUCUCCGUUUCACCGGAGUCUCUGAUCACUACGUCGUUCAGAAAGAUUGGGUCCAUGGACCAGGAACUUCCCAAAGAUCUGGAAUCUUCUCUUCCAUGAGCUUACCGUUGACUAGUGGGAGUGUUCAUCAUAAUAUGGUCACUAACAAAGACAAAAACGAGGUCGUUUUGGACUCUGGUGUCUACCCAAGAGGACCUCCUGUGCCGGCGAAUAACAAGAUCGUGAAAUUCGUGGAUCUUUCGCAGUUAUGUCGAGGACCUCAAAACAGUCCUGGUCAUUGGUUAGUCACGGGUGUUAGGCUUUAUUUGGAUAAAGGGAAACUUUGCUUGCAUGUCAAGUUUGCUCUGCUACAUCACCAACGCCUUCUUGGCGCUUCUUGACAAAAAAAAAAUAUCAAAAAGAUUAGAAUAAAUUUGUUUGUUCUCCUUAUUGAUUUUGAUGUGUGUAUAUAUGGAGGCUGCGAGACAGGGAACCAACCUCUCUCUUCUGUUUAGAGAGAGAGAAAAAACCUCUCUUGUUCUUCACACU
rnacentral:lncRNA from 1 species